CCUACGGGAGGCAGCAGUGAGGAAUAUUGGUCAAUGGACGAGAGUCUGAACCAGCCAAGUAGCGUGAAGGAUGACUGCCCUAUGGGUUGUAAACUUCUUUUAUAUGGGAAUAAAAUGUUCCACGUGUGGGAUUUUGUAUGUACCAUAUGAAUAAGGAUCGGCUAACUCCGUGCCAGCAGCCGCGGUAAUACGGAGGAUCCGAGCGUUAUCCGGAUUUAUUGGGUUUAAAGGGAGCGUAGGUGGAUUGUUAAGUCAGUUGUGAAAGUUUGCGGCUCAACCGUAAAAUUGCAGUUGAAACUGGCAGUCUUGAGUACAGUAGAGGUGGGCGGAAUUCGUGGUGUAGCGGUGAAAUGCUUAGAUAUCACGAAGAACUCCGAUUGCGAAGGCAGUUCACUGGACUGCAACUGACACUGAGGCUCGAAAGUGUGGGUAUCAAACAGGCUUAGAUACCCCUGUAGUC
rnacentral:rRNA from 1 species